AUGAACGCUGGCGGCGUGCUUAAUGCAUGCAAGUCGAACGGGAAAUAUGGCUUCGGUUAUAUUUCUAGUGGCGAACGGGUGAGUAACACGUAAGCAAUCUACCCUAGAGUGGGGGAUAACACCGAGAAAUCGGUGCUAAUACCGCAUAAUGUGUAGGGGUAACGCCCAAACACCAAAGCCUUCGGGCGCUCAAGGAGGAGCUUGCGGCUUAUCAGGUAGUUGGUGAGGUAACGGCCCACCAAGCCGAUGACGGGUAGCUGGUUUGAGAGGAUGAUCAGCCACAUUGGGACUGAGACACGGCCCAGACUCCUACGGGAGGCAGCAGCAGGGAGUAUUGCGCAAUGGGCGAAAGCCUGACGCAGCAACGCCGCGUGGGUGAUGAAGGCCUUCGGGUCGUAAAGCCCUUUUCUUGGGGAAGAAGCUCUGACGGUACCCAAGGAAUAAGCCACGGCUAAUUACGU
rnacentral:rRNA from 1 species